AUUGAACGCUGGCGGCAUGCCUUACACAUGCAAGUCGAACGGCAGCACGGGAGCAAUCCUGGUGGCGAGUGGCGAACGGGUGAGUAAAGUAUCGGAACGUGCCCAGUCGUGGGGGAUAACGUAGCGAAAGUUACGCUAAUACCGCAUACGAGCUAUGGAUGAAAGCGGGGGAUCGCAAGACCUCGCGCGAUUGGAGGGGCAGAUAUCAGAUUAGGUAGUUGGUGGGGUAAAGGCUCACCAAGCCGACGAUCUGUAGCUGGUCUGAGAGGACGACCAGCCACACUGGGACUGAGACACGGCCCAGACUCCUACGGGAGGCAGCAGUGGGGAAUUUUGGACAAUGGGCGCAAGCCUGAUCCAGCCAUGCCGCGUGCAGGAUGAAGGCCUUCGGGUUGUAAACUGCUUUUGUACGGAACGAAAAGGUUUGGCUUAAUACGUUGAACUCAUGACGGUACCGCAAGAAUAAGCACCGGCUAACUACGUGCCAGCCGCCGCAGUAA
rnacentral:rRNA from 1 species